GGCCUUCUGGUCCGAAUUGUAAUUUGUAGGAGGAUGACUUUGGUCAGGUACCUUUCGAGUUCCUUGGAACAGGACGCCUUAGAGGGUGAGAGCCCCCGUACGAUUGGAUGCCGAGCCUCUGUAAGUCUCCUUCGACGAGUCGAGUAGUUUGGGAAUGCUGCUCUAAAUGGGAGGUAAAUUUCUUCUAAAGCUAAAUACCGGCCAGAGACCGAUAGCGCACAAGUAGAGUGAUCGAAAGAUGAAAAGCACUUUGAAAAGAGGGUUAAAUAGUACGUGAAAUUGUUGAAAGGGAAGGGCUUAUGACCAGACCUUUGCAUUGAGGAUCAUCCGGUGUUCUCACCGGUGCACUUCUCUUUGUUGAGGCCAGCAUCAGUUCUAGUUGGGGGAUAAAGACUUAAGGAAUGUGAUUCCUCCGGGAAUGUUAUAGCCUUCUGUGUAAUACCCUGACCGGGACUGAGGACCGCGCUUCGGCUAGGAUGCUGGCAUAAUGGUCAUCAGCCACCCGUCUUGAAACACGGACCAAGGAGUCGAACAUUUUAUGCGAGUGUUUGGGUGUUAAACCCUCACGCG
rnacentral:rRNA from 1 species